CCAACAAUGACAUUCCCUUGCUGCCAGUUAAAGAAUGGACAGGUGGUUCUGUAGAGAUACAUGGUCAUAAUGUUCCUCUCUCAGACCUCUGAGGAGCCUGGUGCUGAUGUCACCUACAGCUCCAUUGUCCUGCCAGAUCCAGAGGUGUCCUCUAGAUGUUCUUCACACCGUCCUGCUGUGACCCCAGCCAGCAAUGUGAUCUACAGCUCAGUCGCCCUGAAGCACAGAGAGUAGGGGGCAGCGACACAGAGAGGCUCCUCUACAUGUGGGGAGCUGCUGCUCUGGAUGAGAGCUGUGAGGGACACGCAGAUACUCCAGUGAUGGGGAUGGAUCAUCAGCAGAGAGGAGCAUCUUACAGUGAUGUGAGCUGUAUUUACAUGGCAUGCAGCACUGUCACAUUACAGUGUGACAGUAAGAAUCAGCCAGUGAGAAACACACAUUCAUGGCUGUUGUGCAUCUGAACUUUAACUGAGGUGCUGUUUGUCUCAAUUGUAUGUUGCUUUGCAGAAAUUACAAUUUCAUUAAAAUAGAUGUAAAGCAUUAACUUGGUGGUGUGUGAAAUGUCCCUUUUCAUUCAUAUUAAUGGAAAACAAAUAUCAUUAGCAAUUCUAGUUGAUUUGUAUAAUGUAGUUUACAGAAUAUACAGUAUUUUGAGAAAGUGUUAGUCAGUGUCUUGUGCAUUUACAGGGGAUACCGAGGUCUAAGUGCUUUGCUGCCCCCUGCUAGAGCCACUUCUCUGUUUGCUAUAGACAGUGGAAUUAAAAACUUCCCUGUUACCAUUAUAUCAUAUUUCAGUAUAAAAGCUUUAGGUUUUUUCCAGAGAAUGUUAGGCUCUUGUUUACUGAUAAAUGUAGUAUUAUUGAAAAUGCAGACCACAGACAGUGUGACUGUUAAUAAAAAUGCUUUUCAUUGCUCC